UUCUCAUCGACACGGGUAGUACUAACAACUUUCUAAACAGUAAGGUUACUAUCCAGAUGGCUUUACCUAUCGAGAAUUACAACAGGUUUGACGUUAAGGUCGCCGAUGGAUGGAUUUUGAAGUAUGAUCGUAGGCGCCCGCAAGUGAAACUAUUGCUGAUCAUGAGGCCUUACCAAGAGAUAAUUAUAUAUUUCUUCCUUCUCCCUCUUGAUGAUCAUGAGGCCAUGCUCACAAUUAAAUGGUUGACGA
rnacentral:lncRNA from 1 species